CCUACGGGAGGCAGCAGUGAGGAAUAUUGGUCAAUGGGCGCAAGCCUGAACCAGCCAAGUAGCGUGAAGGAUGACUGCCCUACGGGUUGUAAACUGCUUUUAUACGGGAAUAAAGCGCGUCACGUGUACGUCUUUGCAUGUACCUUAUGAAUAAGGACCGGCUAAUUCCGUGCCAGCAGCCGCGGUAAUACGGAGGAUCCGGGCGUUAUCCGGAUUUAUUGGGUUUAAAGGGAGGGUAGACGGGUUGUCAAGCGAGUUGUGAAAUGUUGGGGCUCAACCGUAAAAUUGCAAGGGAUACUGGCAGGCUUGAGUACAGGGGAGGUAGGCGGAAUUCGUGGUGUAGCGGUGAAAUGCUUAGAUAUGACGAAGAACCCCGAUUGCGAAGGCAGCUUACUAAAGUGGAACUGACACUGAUGCUCGAAAGUGCGGGUAUCAAACAGGAUUAGAUACCCGUGUAGUC
rnacentral:rRNA from 1 species